rnacentral:rRNA from 1 species
AACUUUCAACAACGGAUCUCUUGGUUCUGGCAUCGAUGAAGAACGCAGCGAAAUGCGAUAAGUAGUGUGAAUUGCAGAAUUCAGUGAAUCAUCGAAUCUUUGAACGCACAUUGCGCCCCUUGGUAUUCCAUGGGGCAUGCUUGUUCGAGCGUCAUUUGUACU